rnacentral:rRNA from 1 species
GACGAACGCUGGCGGCGUGCUUAACACAUGCAAGUCGAACGGAAAGGCCCCUUUGGGGUUGCUCGAGUGGCUAACGGAUGAGUAAGACGUGAGUAACCAGCCCUUGACUUCGGUAUGACUUCAGUAAACUGGGGCGAGUACCGGCUAGAAAUCCUUGCUGCAUGGUGGGGGGUGGAAAGCUUCUGCGGGUUUGGGUGGACGCACGGGCUGUCAGCUUGUUGGUUGGGGAGUGGGUUACCAAGGCAUUGACGGGUGGCCGGCCGGCGUGGGGGAACGGCCCACUUGGGACUGAGAUACGGCCCAGAAUCCUAAGGGAGGCAACAGUGGGGAAUAUUGCACCAUGGGCGGAAGCCUGAUGCAGCAACGCCGCGUGGGGGAUGACGGCCUUCGGGUUGUAAACCGGUUUCAGCAGGGGACAAGGCUGUGGUGACGGUACCUGCAGAAGAAGCACCGGCUAACUACGUG